rnacentral:rRNA from 1 species
GAACGCUGGCGGCGUGCCUAAUACAUGCAAGUCCGAACGAGAGCGACCGGUGCUUGCACUGGUCAAUCUAGUGGCGAACGGGUGAGUAACACGUGGGUAACCUGCCCAUCAGAGGGGGAUAACAUUCGGAAACGGAUGCUAAAACCGCAUAGGUUCUUUAGUCGCAUGACUGAAGAAGGAAAAGAGGCUUCGGCUUCUGCUGAUGGAUGGACCCGCGGUGCAUUAGCUAGUUGGUGAGGUAACGGCUCACCAAGGCCGUGAUGCAUAGCCGACCUGAGAGGGUGAUCGGCCACAUUGGGACUGAGACACGGCCCAAACUCCUACGGGAGGCAGCAGUAGGGAAUCUUCCGCAAUGGACGCAAGUCUGACGGAGCAACGCCGCGUGAGUGAAGAAGGAUUUCGGUUCGUAAAACUCUGUUGUUAGAGAAGAACAGCGCAUAGAGUAACUGUUAUGCGUGUGACGGUAUCUAACCAGAAAGCCACGGCUAACUACGUGCCAGCAGCCGCGGUAAUACGUAGGUGGCAAGCGUUGUCCGGAUUUAUUGGGCGUAAAGCGAGCGCAGGCGGUCAAUUAAGUCUGAUGUGAAAGCCCCCGGCUCAACCGGGGAGGGUCAUUGGAAACUGGUUGACUUGAGUGCAGAAGAGGAGAGUGGAAUUCCAUGUGUAGCGGUGAAAUGCGUAGAUAUAUGGAGGAACACCAGUGGCGAAGGCGACUCUCUGGUCUGUAACUGACGCUGAGGCUCGAAAGCGUGGGUAGCAAACAGGAUUAGAUACCCUGGUAGUCCACGCCGUAAACGAUGAGUGCUAAGUGUUGGAGGGUUUCCGCCCUUCAGUGCUGCAGUUAACGCAUUAAGCACUCCGCCUGGGGAGUACGACCGCAAGGUG